rnacentral:rRNA from 1 species
GAUGAACGCUGGCGGCGUGCCUAAUACAUGCAAGUCGAGCGAACGGACGAGAGGCUUGCUUCUCUGAUGUUAGCGGCGGACGGGUGAGUAACACGUGGAUAACCUACCUAUAAGACUGGGAUAACUUCGGGAAACCGGAGCUAAUACCGGAUGAUAUUUUGAACCGCAUGGUUCAAAAGUGAAAGACGGUCUUGCUGUCACUUAUAGAUGGAUCCGCGCUGCAUUAGCUAGUUGGUAAGGUAACGGCUUACCAAGGCAACGAUGCAUAGCCGACCUGAGAGGGUGAUCGGCCACACUGGAACUGAGACACGGUCCAGACUCCUACGGGAGGCAGCAGUAGGGAAUCUUCCGCAAAGGGCGAAAGCCUGACGGAGCAACGCCGCGUGAGUGAUGAAGGUCUUCGGAUCGUAAAACUCUGUUAUUAGGGAAGAACAUAUGUGUAAGUAACUGUGCACAUCUUGACGGUACCUAAUCAGAAAGCCACGGCUAACUACGUG